UGGGGAAUAUUGCACAAUGGAGGGAACUCUGAUGCAGCGACGCCGCGUGAGUGAUGAAGGAAUUCGUUUUGUAAAACUCUGUUCUAUGGGAAGAAAAGGACUGUACCAUAGGAGAAAGCUCCGGCUAAAUACGUGCCAGCAGCCGCGGUAAUACGUAUGGAGCGAGCGUUGUCCGGAAUUAUUGGGCGUAAAGGGUGCGCAGGCGGCUUUACAAGUUGGAUGUGAAAUAUUGUGGCUCAACCACAAACGUGCAUCCAAAACUGAAAAGCUUGAGUUAAGGAGAGGUAAGUGGAAUUCCUGGUGUGGCGGUGGAAUGCGUAGAUAUCAGGAGAAAAACCGGUGGGGAAGGCGACUUACUGGACAUAAACUAACGCGCGGGCACGAAAGCGUGGGGGGAAAACAGG
rnacentral:rRNA from 1 species